AAUUUUAAGACUCAGCUCAUAGGAUGUGUAAUAGAAUACAUAAGAAUUUUUUCAGUUGGUUGAGAAUUCUCCAGUUAGGUAAGAACAGGCAAGACUCAACAGAAAGCCUGACCAAGUGACCUUUUCCAGCAGGUACCAAAGCUAUGUCAUUUGGACAAGCUACGAGCCACUCUGUGCCCUGCUCUCAUCACCUUCAAAUCAGAAGGCAAGUGACCCUUCUGCCCAGGACCUGGUGUUUGAGGGAGAAAUGCUAAGCGAGACUAAGAUGAGCAGAAUGGAAAUCACGUGUGUCGAGAGCCCGGCCGGCGUACAGCGGGUGCCCCACGAGUCACGGCAUUCAGGAAUCAGUCAACGCUGCAGUCUGGCUACGUCAGAGGAUUUGCUGAGCCAAGAAGAGAUGACUCGAGCCUUCGCAGCCCUGCUUGAUUUUGACCCAGGAAAAGUUGGCUUGAAAUGUCUAGCGUUCGCACUCUGUCUGGGGUGACUUGGGUCUUAAGCUUCACUUUCCUGGGCCAGGAAAGAGCAAGCCAUUAGGAGUUUAUGUAUUUUUCUUCUUUCGUGAAGUUAAAGGCGAUACUAAAAAAGACUCACUUUAAAGGGGAGAAGCACUGUGUCUUGAACGUGUAAUGUCCCUCAGCCCGUGUGUGUGAACUCUUAGUUCCCAGUGGGUCACUGGGGAGUGGUCUUGAGAGUUCUCUAUCCCACCUGCUUUCUGUUACUGGCUGCAGAUACAAUGGAACCAGUCCCUCAAGCUUCUGCCGCCAUGCCCUCCCUGCCUUCAUGUGUCCCCUCAAACUGUAAGCCAAGAUAAACCCUUCCUUCUGCCUCAACCUCCUGUGUGGCCCUAAUUAUGUCUGCACCAGGCCCAACAGGACUCUGUUUCUAGUAGAGGGUGCUGGGCACAAAGUAGUUAACAAGUAAUGGUCCUGAAUUUCUGUUUCCGGGACGUAGAUGUCAUCUCUUUAAAUAUUAGGUGUCAAGGGGCCAUGUGUCUGCCCAGUAGAACCAUCUGUUGUCAGGAAAUUAUCCUUCCUGUCAGUGAAGAGCAACAGAUAUCCUCCCAGCGUUAGCCCAGGGAGAGACU